rnacentral:misc_RNA from 1 species
AACAAGGCGUACCUGCGGACCUGCGGAAGGAUCAUUACCGAGUUUACAACUCCCAAACCCCUGUGAACAUACCACUUGUUGCCUCGGCGGAUCAGCCCGCUCCCGGUAGAACGGGACGGCCCGCCAGAGGACCCCUAAACUCUGUUUCUAUAUGUAACUUCUGAGUAAAACCAUAAAUAAAUCAAAACUUUUAGCAACGGAUCU